UACAGAGGGUGCGAGCGUUAAUCGGAGUUACUGGGCGUAAAGGGCGCGUAGGCGGUUAUAUAAGUGAGAUGUGAAAUCCCUGGGCUUAACCUAGGAACUGCAUCUCAUACUGUAUGACUGGAGUAUUGUAGAGGGUAGUGGAAUUUCCGGUGUAGCGGUGAAAUGCGUAGAGAUCGGAAAGGAACACCAGUGGCGAAGGCGGCUACCUGGACAAAUACUGACGCUGAGGCGCGAGAGCGUGGGGAGCAA
rnacentral:rRNA from 1 species